UUCAUGAAAGGCUGAAAUUGGAAUAAUAAAUAAAUAAGUAAAUAAUAAAAAAUAAAAAAAUUAUGAAAGGUUGAAAAUAAAUAAAAAGUAAAUAAUAAUAAAAUAAAACAGCUUGUAAAAAGGAUUGAAGUGAAGUAAACUAAGGAUUAAAUUGAAAUCAGAAUGAAAUUAGGGUAUGAAUUGUAAAUAAUAAAAAAUAAUUAAUAAAACAGAAUAAAGGAUCUAAAUGAAAUGCGUGAAAAGGAAUAGCGGCCAAAUGGGAAAUUAUCCCAAUCAACCUAAAUGCACUGUUCCGUGAGGGGCUAAAAUGAAACAGAACCAAAAUUCUAUGGUAAAAAUAAAAAAAAGGAUAAGAUUGGAUUGAAAAAUAAUUAAAAAUUAGAAGGACUAAAGACGCAAAUAGACCCCUCACAUAAAAAACACGUGAAUCCUAUGGCGGGUCGAGUCAGUAGUCGGGUUGCGUCAAAACGACACCGUGUUGGCGUCUAAAGCUUAAGCACGACGCCGUUUUGGAGGCUUAUAUAAGUAAAAUAUCUUUAAAAAAAUCAUUUUAAAUAAGUUUUUUUUUUUAAAAAAAAGUUCUUUUCAUUUUAUUUUAUUUUGAAGCUGCCCUUCUCUCCAAUCAUGGGGCCGGCGAGUCUCCGCCGUGGCCGCCUGUCAUCGACGACGGAAACCGCCGCCUCUAGUGGCCGAAAAUCGGAAAAGACUCCCUUUUGAGUCCUUUUUUUGUGUGUAGAGCAUGGAUCCGGAGUCAAAAUCCCCAAAAAAUGAUCCAAAAUUCAAAAAUAAAAAUAAAAGAUGAUACCUUUCAGUUUCUUGGGGUUUUUUUUUUAAAAGAAAAAAGAAAAAAAGAGAUAGCCCCUACGACGAUGGAUUCCUACAACGGCCGAAGACAAAGCGCCUCAGGUGGCGAAAUCAACGGCGAUGACGAGACUCAAGUCUUGCCAUUUGUUUUAGUUUUCUGAAAAUAAUUAAAAUUGUGGGCUUUAGGGUUUGUGUAUUGGGCCUGUAAUUUUGUAAUUGGAUCUUGGGCUGUUGUUAAUGAGUCUUGUUAUCAUUGUUUUUUUAUUUUUUCAUUCUUGGUUUCUGUUUAGGCCCGGAAACAGAAUACGUGCCCAAAAUAAAAGAUAUCAUGUGAAUAGUAUUUGUGAUUUCAUCAUGCAGAGAACUUGCUUUUAAGGCUACA